UGAAUAAGACAAAUUAGACAA
ensembl:piRNA 21ur-6998 ncRNA